AUUGAACGCUAGCGGCAGGCCUAACACAUGCAAGUCGAGCGGAGCGGCGGACGGGAGAGUAAUGCCUAGGAAUCUGCCUGGUAGUGGGGGAUAACGUCCGGAAACGGGCGCUAAUACCGCAUACUAUCAGAUGAGCCUAGGUCGGAUUGGCUAGUUGGUGGGGUAAAGGCCUACCAAGGCGACGAUCCGUAACUGGUCAGAGAGGAUGAUCAGUCACAAUGGAACUGAGACACGGCCCAGACUCCUCCGGGAGCCAGCGGUGUGCAAUAUGGGACAAUGGGCGAACGCCUGAGGCAGCGACGCCGCGUGAUUUAGAAUGCCUUCGGGUUGUAAAAAUCUUUUAUAUGGGAAGCAGUACCAUAGGAAUAAGGACCGGCUAAUUACGUGCCAGCAGCCGCGGGAAUUC
rnacentral:rRNA from 1 species